UACGUAGGGUGCAAGCGUUAAUCGGAAUUACUGGGCGUAAAGCGUGCGCAGGCGGCUUUGCAAGACAGAUGUGAAAUCCCCGGGCUUAACCUGGGAACUGCAUUUGUGACUGCAUGGCUGGAGUGCGGCAGAGGGGGAUGGAAUUCCGCGUGUAGCAGUGAAAUGCGUAGAUAUCAGGAGGAACACCGGUGGCGAAGGCGGGAUCCUGGGCCAGUACUGACGCUGAGGAGCGAAAGCGUGGGGAGCAAACAGG
rnacentral:rRNA from 1 species